ACAACUUCAACAAAAUGUCUGCAGUCGUUUCGCAGCGAAAGUCAAGUGGUUGGAACUCGGGACUCCCUUAAACUGCAAGCUACGCGAAUACGUGUUAUCAUCUCGAACGCAUAAAGGGGAAGCAUUGUGCGCGUGUCGCGGAGUAACGUAACCGCUAUCGAUAAUCUCAGACUACGCAACAUUCUUUUACUAGUUCUCGCGACGGCAACGGCGGAAUGCUGUGCAGAUACGAUUUACGAGGCCGCAAGUUAUAGUUCUACGGUUUUUCAACGGAUCGACGAGGCUACUGCAAGUUUCUUACGGGUCAGUCUGUUUAUAAUGAAGAACGGUUCCCGUGACUGAAAGCAGGUAAAGG